UGAUCACGGGCUGAUGGGCAUCACGGCAUUUUGUUUGUUUUAAAAGUUAUUAGGUGCAUUAAGUUUACUGUUUUUAUCCUACAUAGCUUCUUAAGCAGCAAACAAGAAAUGACGAAAAAGAGAUGGGCCAACAUUGAACAAAGCAAAAUAGAGAAAUCAGUUGCUUCAUGGCUGCCACAGACACAAUUAAAAUCAAAGACUUAGAAAGGGGCAGGGUGUCAAAGAGCACCUGAAGAACAGGAAGAUGAGGAUCGUGAAGCCGCCGACGCUUGAAUGAUGUGUAAAUAAUGUAUUGUCAGAGUGUCUACGAACCGGGAAAUCUGGGAAUGAACUUAUUUUUUUACUGAAAUGUACUGUUUUUAGUAAAUAUGGGUAAUUUUUAGUGGUAAUUGUCCUUAAAUAAUUGUGUGGGCCAUUUUAAGUAUGAUAUAAAAAUUUGUUAGAAGAACAUAAAAGGUUUUUUAUAAAAUGUUUGCUUACAUUUUCAUCAUUUUAAUAGUAAUCUAUAUAGUCAUCAUAUAGUAAUCAUAAUAGUCAUAGUAAUCUAUGGAGUAAUUAUGCAAUAGAAACCACAUUAGCAAUCUCAAAGCCAUAAAUAUUUUAUCUCGACAAUCACAUCAAGUCAAGUACUUCAAAAAACUUAUGACUCAGUAGCAAAGCUCAUAAAAGUUGUAUCACUGUCAUUCCUUGACAACUUAUUUAUUUAUUACUAGGGUAAUUAUCAUUAGAUCCCAAACCUUUUUGAUCAUGGGAAUAAUAGUUUUAUAUUAGCUGUUAAAUUUAACUUCUUACUUGUACUUUCAUCUUGAAGAUUCAAUUUGCCGCUGGCCGUUGCCUACUCCCUUCAAAACUGUUUACGGUUUCAUAUUAAACUUCGAACUAAUAUACAGUGUUAUUUUAUAAGUUAAAUCCUCUUUUAUGGACAUUUUAUCUUUCAAUUGACAAAACCACGAGCAUUGUUGUUUGCAUUAAUUUUUUAUCAUAACACAGUCCUACUUGGUCUCAAAAAAUCAUAUCCUUGCAUUUCAUGUAUCUUUGUCUUUUAUUGUUGGCUGUUUGGGUUUCAAUAUUUUUUUGUUCCCCAUAUUUAUUUAUUGAGUUGUAUGCGUUAAGCAAUCUAAAUCUUAUAAACUAGAAUGAUGAUAAUUUGCUGCUAUUAUAACCUCAUUGUUUGUUACUUAGUUUAUACAAGCCCUCCUAAAUAAUUAGGUCUAGGCCUAGGCAAACUAAUGAUUGCUAUAUAUGAAUGUUAAAUUUGCAAUUGAAAAGAUAAUAAUUUAUUCUGUGCUGGCUGGUAGAGUACUUAAAGUUUGUCCAUGAAUAUUUUAUUUUUAUAUCCAUGCACCCAUUUCUAUUUUCCAGAAUGUAGUAGACUGUGUUUUUAUUAUUUCUCUACUUUUUUUAAUUUGUUUACUUCAAA